rnacentral:lncRNA from 1 species
CGCCACUUAAAUCCUCUUAAACAGCCCCGUCACUUUCAGAAAUUUCCAUAAUGGUCUCCUGUCCUCUCCCGUCCUGGACAAUAUACCCCUUACGUCCGUUAUCUGGAAACCCCUCUUAAAAUCCUCAAUCAUCACCUGUCUUUCACAAACAUACUUUCCACAGUCCAUCAACACAUGCUCUACUGUUUCCACAGACCUACAUUCAUCACACUCUCCAUUGACAUGAUUCCCCACCAUCUGCAAGGUAUUAUUUAGAUUGCUAUGCCCUAUUCUCAGCCUGGUAAACACCACCUCUCAAUCUGUACAGAACUGUUAAAUAUUAAAUAUUUGUGGAUAAAGUAGAAUGGAAUGAGGUAGUUGCUGUGAGCACAGCAUAAUAAAUAUUGAGUUUAUGUUAAUGGCUUAAUGGCUUUUAUGAUGAAGAUGUAUCAUGUCAUCAUUUAUUAAGGUAUUUGUCUUGUCUUUACAGCCUCCUAAAAAGAUCUGCCAUCAACCAGUCAACAGUUGGACGGUUGGGUUGGCCCUGAUAAUAUUGAAGGUUAUGGCGCCCUGCAGGAGCUGGCUAGUUUCUUGGUUGACCUCCAGGACCAUAAUCUAGUGGUGACUGAAGAAGAGGUUAAUCGGAUCAUUUCUCUGUGGCAAUCAUUGGUGGAUUAUGACAAAUGCAGAACAGUCUACUCCCACCGUCACCAAGCCCACCUGAAGCAGGGCAGAUUUAGGGCUACCAAAAUGAUUGAAGCCCCCGGUGUGGAAAGCACAAAAAGGUGAGCAGACAAAAAACAGAAAAGAGUUGUGCACAGGAGAUGACGCAGAACCAACUGUUGAGCUUUAAAAUUCAGUUCUUUCUCAUACAUGCUUGUCCUUUUCUUUUUCCCUUUUUUUUCAUGAAGGUGAUUUAUUGACGCUCACAGUCCUGCACAGUGGCCAGACUGCAACCGAGUGGUGGAGGCACUAUUUGUGAGACUCUGUGUUGUAUCCAAACGCUGUGCCCUGUGAGGGGAAGAAGAUUUCUCCAUUCACAAUGGUUGUGUGCACGUACAAGACGAACAGAGAGUGCAUUGUCUCCAUAAUAGUGAGUGAGACCAGCAUCCAGCUCCCAGAAGUAAAUGCUGCUACACUCACACAAUGGUAAGUAAAUGAGAAGGAUUUGAAUACAUGAAUGUUCUUCCUCAUGGGUACGUUUUCAGCAGCAUCCAAGAUAAAAAGAGAAGAGGCUGGAUCAUUU